UACGAAGGGGGCUAGCGUUGUUCGGAAUCACUGGGCGUAAAGCGCACGUAGGCGGAUCUUUAAGUCAGGGGUGAAAUCCCAGAGCUCAACUCUGGAACUGCCUUUGAUACUGGCGAUCUUGAGUCCGGAAGAGGUGAGUGGAACUCCUAGUGUAGAGGUGGAAUUCGUAGAUAUUAGGAAGAACACCAGUGGCGAAGGCGGCUCACUGGUCCGGUACUGACGCUGAGGUGCGAAAGCGUGGGGAGCAAACAGG
rnacentral:rRNA from 1 species